rnacentral:rRNA from 1 species
UACGGAGGGGGCUAGCGUUGUUCGGAAUUACUGGGCGUAAAGCGCGCGUAGGCGGACCUGCAAGUCGGGGGUGAAAGCCCGAGGCUCAACCUCGGAACUGCCUUCGAUACUGCGGGUCUCGAGUCCGGGAGAGGUGAGUGGAAUUCCUAGUGUAGAGGUGAAAUUCGUAGAUAUUGGGAAGAACACCAGUGGCGAAGGCGGCUAACUGGUCCGGAUCUGACGCUGAGGUGCGAAAGCGUGGGGAGCAAACAGGG